AUUGAACGCUGGCGGAGUGCUUUACACAUGCAAGUCGAACGGCAGCACGGACUUCGGUCUGGUGGCGAGUGGCGAACGGGUGAGUAAUACAUCGGAACGUGCCCAAUCGGGGGGGAUAACGUAGCGAAAGCUACGCUAAUACCGCGUCCGAUCUAAGGAUGAAAGCGGGGGAUCGCACGACCUCGCGCGAUUGGAGCGGGCGGUGGCAGAUUAGGUAGUUGGUAGGGUAAAGGCCUACCAAGCCGACGAUCUGUAGCUGGUCUGAGAGGAUGAUCAGCCACACUGGGACUGAGACACGGCCCAGACUCCUACGGGAGGCAGCAGUGGGGAAUUUUGGACAAUGGACGCAAGUCUGAUCCAGCCAUUCCGCGUGCAGGAUGAAGGCCCUCGGGUUGUAAACUGCUUUUGUACAGGACGAAAAGGCUCUGGUUAAUACCUAGGGCUCAUGACGGUACUGUAAGAAUAAGCACCGGCUAACUACGUGCCAGCCGCCGCAGUAA
rnacentral:rRNA from 1 species